AUGCAAAAUGUUAGUCUCUUCUUGGACAGCGGAGGAGUCCUCAAUAUAAGGUUUCACAUAGGCAUUAUAAGCAUAAUUAUCAUAAAAAUAUUUAAGAAUGGAAAUUUUUUGAGAUUUGUAAAGAGUAGCAUCAUACAUUUCAAUCAAAGAAGCAAUUUCAUAAGCACCCUUAAAAGCAACAAAUUCUUCAAUUUGUUGAACAUCAUAGUAAUUAUAAACACCCUUAGCAUACGAAGAUAUGAUUCCAUUAUCACUAAACUCACAUUGGUAGGGAAGGUGUUUCUUAGGGUCUUCAGAACAACAAGUAACAUCGUAUAUUUCACAUAA
rnacentral:rRNA from 1 species